UUCACCGCGAGGUGGAAUCUGAAGAGUCUGAGACGUGCUGUUAGUCCAAAACAUUAUGUGAACCAGAGGUGGCAUCUGUAAAUGGCGAUUCGCCAUAAAAACGAAGAAGCUCAAUGCCGGUAUAAAAACCAUGCAAUCUAGGCCGGAUUUGCAGAUGUGAUUAGGGUUGGAAUGACAGUAAGAUAGAAUA
rfam:Halanaerobium kushneri strain ATCC 700103 genome assembly, contig: Ga0104713_102